rnacentral:rRNA from 1 species
UACGUAGGGUGCGAGCGUUUGGUCCGGAAUUAUUGGGCGUAAAGGGCGUGUAGGCGGUUUGUUAAGUCAUGUGUGAAAGCCCCCGGCUCAACCGGGGAACGAACGCAUGAAACUGGCAAGCUAGAGUACCGAAGAGGGGGGUGGAAUUCCCGGGUGUAGCGGUGAAAUGCGUAGAUAUCGGGAGGAAUACCGAUGGCGAAGGCAGGUCUCUGGGCUGACACUGACGCUCAUGCACGAAAGCGUGGGGAGCAAACAGG